AUUGAACGCUGGCGGCAUGCCUUACACAUGCAAGUCGAACGGUAACAGGUCUUCGGAUGCUGACGAGUGGCGAAAGGGUGAGUAAUACAUCGGAACGUGCCUAGUAGUGGGGGAUAACUACUCGAAAGAGUGGCUAAUACCGCAUGAGAUCUACGGAUGAAAGCAGGGGAUCGCAAGACCUUGCGCUACUAGAGCGGCCGAUGGCAGAUUAGGUAGUUGGUGGGAUAAAAGCGUACCAAGCCGACGAUUUGUAGCUGGUCUGAGAGGACGAUCAGCCACACUGGGAGUGAGAAAAGGCCGAGACUCCUACGGGAGGCAGCAGUGGGGAAUUUUGGACAAUGGGCGCAAGACUGAUCCAGCAAUGCCGCGUGCAGGAUGAAGGACUUCGGGUUGUAAACUGCUGUUGUACGGAACGAAAAGCCCCGGGUUAAUACCCUGGGGUCAUGACGGUACCGUAAGAAUAAGCACCGGCUAACUACGUGCCAGCCGCCGCCGUAA
rnacentral:rRNA from 1 species